UUAAUAUUGGUAUAAUUAGGAGUGUAAAUGAACCGAGCUUGAACGAAUAAGGUUAUGUUCAUGUUCGUUUAUUUAUUUUUGAAGGUGUU